UCCGGCGGGGGCUAGCGUUGUUCGGAAUCACUGGGCGUAAAGCGCACGUAGGCGGACCAUUAAGUCGGGGGUGAAAUCCCGGGGCUCAACCCCGGAACUGCCUUCGAUACUGGCGGUCUGGAGGUCGAGAGAGGCGAGUGGAAUUCCGAGUGUAGAGGUGAAAUUCGUAGAUAUUCGGAGGAACACCAGUGGCGAAGGCGGCUCGCUGGCUCGAUACCGACGCUGAGGUGCGAAAGCGUGGGGAGAAAACAGG
rnacentral:rRNA from 1 species